rnacentral:rRNA from 1 species
GCCUACGGCCAUACUUAGGCGAAAACACCAGUUCCCCGUCCGAUCACUACAGUUAAGUGAAAAUGUCUGAGGGUCUCGUUCGUACUAUGGUUGGAGACAACAUAGGAAUCCGGGGUACUGUAGGCU